rnacentral:rRNA from 1 species
GAUGAACGCUGGCGGCGUGCCUAAUACAUGCGAGUCGAGCGAACGGACGAGAAGCUUGCUUCUCUGAUGUUAGCGGCGGACGGGUAAGUAACACGUGGAUAACCUACCUAUAAGGCUGGGAUAACUUCGGGAAACCGGAGCUAAUACCGGAUAAUAUUUUGAACCGCAUGGUUCAAAAGUGAAAGACGGUCUUGCUGUCACUUAUAGAUGGAUCCGCGCUGCAUUAGCUAGUUGGUAAGGUAACGGCUUACCAAGGCAACGAUGCAUAGCCGACCUGAGAGGGUGAUCGGCCACACUGGAACUGAGACACGGUCCAGACUCCUACGGGAGGCAGCAGUAGGGAAUCUUCCGCAAUGGGCGAAAGCCUGACGGAGCAACGCCGCGUGAGUGAUGAAGGUCUUCGGAUCGUAAAACUCUGUUAUUAGGGAAGAACAUAUGUGUAAGUAACUGUGCACAUCUUGACGGUACCUAAUCAGAAAGCCACGGCUAACUACGUG